AACGAACCUUCGGGUUAGUGGCGGACGGGUGAGUAACGCGUGAGAAUCUGCCCUCAGGAGGGGGAUAACGGUUGGAAACGACCGCUAAUACCCCAUAUGCCUACUGGUGAAAUGAAUUUCGCCUGAGGAUGAGCUCGCGUCUGAUUAGCUAGUUGGUGAGGUAAUGGCUCACCAAGGCUUCGAUCAGUAGCUGGUCUGAGAGGAUGAUCAGCCACACUGGGACUGAGACACGGCCCAGACUCCUACGGGAGGCAGCAGUGGGGAAUUUUCCGCAAUGGGCGAAAGCCUGACGGAGCAACGCCGCGUGAGGGACGAAGGCCUCUGGGCUGUAAACCUCUUUUCUCAAGGAAGAAGAUAUGACGGUACUUGAGGAAUAAGCCACGGCUAAUUCCGUGCCAGCAGCCGCGGUAAUACGGGAGUGGCAAGCGUUAUCCGGAAUUAUUGGGCGUAAAGCGUCCGCAGGCGGCUUUUCAAGUCUGCUGUUAAAGCGUGGAGCUUAACUGCAUCAUGGCAGUGGAAACUGAAAGGCUUGAGUAUGGUAGGGGCAGAGGGAAUUCCCGGUGUAGCGGCGAAAUGCGUAGAUAUCGGGAAGAACACCAGUGGCGAAGGCGCUCUGCUGGGCCAUUACUGACGCUCAUGGACGAAAGCCAGGGGAGCGAAAGGGAUUAGA
rnacentral:rRNA from 1 species